rnacentral:rRNA from 1 species
ACGGGGGGGGCAAGCGUUGUUCGGAAUUACUGGGCGUAAAGGGCUCGUAGGCGGCCAACUAAGUCGGACGUGAAAUCCCCAGGCUCAACCUGGGAACUGCGUCCGAUACUGGAUGGCUUGAAUUCGGGAGAGGGAUGCAGAAUUCCAGGUGUAGCGGUGAAAUGCGUAGAUAUCAGGAGGAACACCUGCGGUGUAGACAGCUUUCUGGACCACUUCUGACGCUGAGACACGAAAGCGUGGGUAGCAAACAGGA